AUUCCCGCUGCUGCACAGAGAGGACCUGUGUCCCGUGGACUGGGAGUUCCUGGAGAGCCGCCUCUGAACAGCUGGCAAUAAUUUCCUAAGUCCCGUCUCUUCAUUUUCCUUUGUGUUGCGUUUCGGAACAUCCAGAAACC
rnacentral:other from 1 species